rnacentral:misc_RNA from 1 species
AAGUCGUAACAAGGUUUCCGUAGGUGAACCUGCGGAAGGAUCAUUAAUGAAUUAAUAAUUCAUCCAGUGUUAAACAGUCUAUUAUAUCUAUAAAUCGAAACACUAUUGUAAUUAUACAACUUUUAACGGUGGAUCUCUUGGUUCCU